AUUGAACGCUGGCGGCGUGCCUAAUACAUGCAAGUCGAACGGAGUGGCGCACGGGUGAGUAAUGUAUAGCUAAUCUGCCCUACACUAGAGGACAACAGUUGGAAACGACUGCUAAUACUCUAUAGUGUAGGAUGAGGCUAUAUUGUAUCAGCUAGUUGGUGAGGUAAUGGCUCACCAAGGCUAUGACGCAUAACUGGUCUGUGAGGAUGAUCAGUCACACUGGAAAUGAGACACGGUGCAGACUCCUACGGGAGGCAGCAGUAGGGCAGACUGCUCAAUGGGGGAGACCCUGAAGCAGCCAGGACGCGUGGAGGAUGACACUUUUCGGAGCAUAAACUGCUUGUGCUAGGGAAGCGGUAACUGACGAAUAAGCACCGGCUAACUCCGUGCCAGCAGCCGCGGUAAUAC
rnacentral:rRNA from 1 species